CUUGUGAUAGCAGCACGCAAUGAUUCUCAAAGGUGUUGAAAACUAUAAAUACUCUGCUCCAAAGUCCAUUUCCAGCAUUGCUGAGACCUAACGAUCCUUCAACCACCAGCCAAUAGAUGACAGAUAAAAAGAAAACGCAGAUGGCCUCUCCCUUCACAGAGCUGGAAUGCUACAUCAUUCUUCUUUCUCUGCUAGUCUUCAGUUUCUUUACUCUGCAUGGCAUGAUACAUGAGCGAUGCACACCUCCAACAGCUAAAGAAGGCGAAGAACAUCAUGACCCACUCAUAGUCUGAGCCUAGGCUUUGUUCGGAAUGAGAGCUACACCAACAGACUUAUAGGAUAUAUGCAAUUUUAAAACUCUCCUGGGACCCAGCAUAGCAGAACUUAUAUGUUGGAACUUGUUGGAUUUUCAUAUGGCAUAUCCAAAAGCGGACAGUUUGGGGGCCGGCUCCAGAUUCAAUUAUUUAUAGCCAUCAACAAAGACUGAUAAGGGGUGCGUGGCUAUAUUUGUCUAAAGGGCAAGUCUGUAAGGUGUGGAUGUAACGUGCUGACGUGGAUUAUUGAAGGCUCUUAGAACCUCAGAUGCUCUUAGAAGAAGUGUAUGGCUUUUGUAACACACAUUUGUACUGUACAUGAAAGCAACAAGAUUUUUAACUCUGAAG